rnacentral:rRNA from 1 species
UACGAAGGGGGCUAGCGUUGCUCGGAAUCACUGGGCGUAAAGCGCACGUAGGCGGAUUGUUAAGUCAGGGGUGAAAUCCUGGAGCUCAACUCCAGAACUGCCUUUGAUACUGAAGAUCUUGAGUUCGGGAGAGGUGAGUGGAACUGCGAGUGUAGAGGUGAAAUUCGUAGAUAUUCGCAAGAACACCAGUGGCGAAGGCGGACUCACUGGCCCGAUACUGACGCUGAGGCACGAAAGCGUGGG